UGCAUCUCCCGGGAAUCGAACCCGGGCCACCCGCGUGGCAGGCGAGCAUUCUACCACUGAACCACCGAUGC
rnacentral:tRNA from 1 species